GUUCAUGCAUGCUCAUUCCAGUCCACUCUCAUUGGCUGCCACAUUAUAUUGAUGUCGUGCAAACUGUUCUUCGUAUAUUAACAAUGGUUGGACUUCUUUCAGUCAGAACUUGUCAUAUACCUAUACUAGGUUGUAAACCAUGCCUAAGAGUUAAAGGUCUCACUUCUGGCCAAGAUGGAGGUGUAGGUACAUACACUUUGCUUCCAUGCACAACCAAAAGAAGGAAAACAACAAAUUUAAAAACAAAACAAUAACCAGAACUGCCAGAAAAUCGAACUGCAUGGAAGUCCUACAACCAAGGAGUUAAAGAAGAAGCAUUCAUCCAGGCUGGUAGGAGGGGCUAAGCUGGGCAGCCAGGGCUGAAAGCACACACUGCAAGGCCACAGUGGACUGGGGCUGGCAAGGCGCUGGCUGGCAGACUGAAUUUCCCACAUUUGAAUGUGGAUAAGCCAGG